rnacentral:rRNA from 1 species
GAGCUCGCGGCCUAUCAGCUUGUUGGUGAGGUAACGGCUCACCAAGGCGUCGACGGGUAGCCGGCCUGAGAGGGUGACCGGCCACACUGGGACUGAGACACGGCCCAGACUCCUACGGGAGGCAGCAGUGGGGAAUAUUGCACAAUGGGCGCAAGCCUGAUGCAGCAACGCCGCGUGAGGGACGACGGCCUUCGGGUUGUAAACCUCUUUUAGCAGGGAAGAAGCGAAAGUGACGGUACCUGCAGAAAAAGCGCCGGCUAACUACGUGCCAGCAGCCGCGGUAAUACGUAGGGCGCAAGCGUUAUCCGGAAUUAUUGGGCGUAAAGAGCUCGUAGGCGGUUUGUCGCGUCUGCUGUGAAAACCCGAGGCUCAACCUCGGGCCUGCAGUGGGUACGGGCAGACUAGAGUGCGGUAGGGGAGAUUGGAAUUCCUGGUGUAGCGGUGGAAUGCGCAGAUAUCAGGAGGAACACCGAUGGCGAAGGCAGAUCUCUGGGCCGUAACUGACGCUGAGGAGCGAAAGGGUGGGGAGCAAACAGGCUUAGAUACCCUGGUAGUCCACCCCGUAAACGUUGGGAACUAGUUGUGGGGUCCAUUC